GUGUGAUGAAAUGAUUGAAGCUGUUAAUUUUCUCCUUGAUAAUACUUAUGUACGUUUCGGCAACAAAGUUUAUCGACAGGUUAUAGGUAUCCCCAUGGGCACUAAUUGUGUCCCUUUAAUAGCAGACUUGUUUUUGUACUGUUACGAAUCACAGUUUAUGACUAAACUCAGUAAAGACCCGUCGAAAUUGCAUUUAAUUGAUAAAUUCAACAACAC
rnacentral:lncRNA from 1 species